AUGGGACUUUUUACUCACCUAAUCUUGCAAUCUGCUUUGUUUUCCAAAGACAAUUGUGUGAAAGCCUCUGGGAGCUUGCAGGAAGGCGUGGAGUUUGACGAACACAGCAACAAUUCCAUCGAACCCAGAGAUGGAAUCGGUCAUGAGUCGCCAGAACCAGCCAGACGAGACGUGAACUCUGCCGGUCAGCACCAGAUCCCAGUCCUGCUGCUAAGCUCUUCCCUCAUGGUUCUGGCAGCCAUCUUGUCAUUAUAGCAGUCUGAAAAGCAACCCCUUCCUCUCAGGAUUGGACUGUCCUGGUUGCAUCACCUCCCCUGAAGGAGCACUUUUUAAAACCCAAAAACACUGAUCUUCUCUCUGGCUGACAGGACAGAGUAAAAUACUUCAUGAGCGAAGCCACCAACGUUUUUUCUGAGUUUGAUGCUUGACUUUGUGGUGAGUUCUGAUGGUUGAGGUGCCUGAAGGUGGGCGGAGCCUCCCACCUGUUGGCCUUCCUAUGAUAUGCAGAUAGUUUACACAGUUUUUGUGCUGAAGACAAACACACAAGACGUCAUUUUUAAAGUUUCAUUCACCAAAUGGCACAAUCAGAACACCAGUUAGCUUGAUUAGUGAAGAAGCACAGCAGGACCGUGGAUCAUUUACAGACUUUUGCUUGAUUUGUAACACCAUGAAAUACGACUCACUUCACUAAACGGAUCCUGGAAUUGUGGCUGGAAGAAGAGCGCUGCUACGAGCUGAAAUUCUGUCACGUCAAACCGACUGAAGAGAGAAAAGAGUUUAGGAAGAACUCCGCUCUUAGUUGUUUGGAUAAUUUAACGAAUUAACACAAUUAUCCUAUUUUUUUUCUUUUUAUUAAAUCAUGUAACUGUAGCAGCCAAAAUGAUGUACAGUAAAAUAUUUGAACAGAUAGAAGUCAAAAAAUUUCCUAUUUAUUGUGCCAUUCUCGUGCUUUUCAUUUCCAUUUUUGUAUAAAGAAAGAAAAAAAAAGAAGGAAAAUUGUCUUUUCUAUAGCACCUCUCAACAUAAAACUCUUGAGGGGCUUCACAAGAACAAAAAAUAUUUAAGAGAGAAAAAAUUGUUUUUGAAAAAUAUAUACAAAUAAUAAUGAUACAAUUUGUGAUUAGGAAAGGUAAAGAGAAGGAAAUCAGUAGAUCCUGGAAAAGGCGGAAUAGGUAGAAAGAGGAGAGCAGAACAAGGAGAGGGUGAUGAUGAAGGUCACGCAAAAGCCUGAACAGGUGAGGUUAAAGAAGACCACUGAGUCCACUGAUCUCAGUCUCUGUCAUGUUCUGUGUCCUCGUGGUCCCCAGCCCCUUCCAGGUUUCCCUCAUGUUCCCCCUUCCUAGCAGGUUUUGUGUCUUUUGGGUCCCCAGCCCUCUCCGGUUCCCCCUCCUGGUUUCCCUCAGGUCUCUCCUAGUCACCCCUCUGCAGUUUUUCUAUAGGUUCAGCAUUUCUUUUUAUUAGUCUACUUUAGUGUGUGUGUAUUUUCCUUCUCCACUUGUUAAUUGGUCCCCCUCACUCCUCUGGUCAUUAGUGAUUUAUCUUUGGUUCUCUUGUGUUAGCUUUAUUUAUUUAGAGAUUCACAGGUUAUGGUUUAUCCCCUCUGCUUGGUUUUCCCUUCCCAUUUGGUCAAUUGAUCUCACCGUUCUCUCCUCAGUUCUCUCUCCCACGCACCUGCUACUCGUCUCCCAAUCAUCCAGCCCCUGUGUAUAUAACCCUGUCUCGUCACUGUGUGUGUGUGUCGGUCCAUUGCUGUUUGUCAGCGUUGUUUUGUCCCCCCCACUAGGUCUCGAGGUCUCUGCUCAGAAAGUGAGCUUUUGGUUUUUGUCAGAGUUUUGUCAUUAGGUUUUGGCUUCCUGCCCUUUGGAUUUUUGGUUAUCAUCCUAAAUACAGGAUUUUACUUUUUACGUUUGCUCCUGCCUCGCGUUGUCUGGUGUUCUGCACCUUGGGUCCUAACCCCCUCCCGCUCUCAGCAUGACAGGCUCAGGGGGAGAGAGGUCCAGCGUCUGGGGGCCACAACAGUCUGUAGGUCCGGUAGAGUGGUAGUAAAAUCCCAUGUUGGCACAUCUAAUAAGAGAAUAUCUAUCCCCCAACCAAUUUGUAGUUGUUUUUAACUAAAGUGCAAAGAGAUAAACAGACUGGUGUGCAUCAGGGUGUAGACAUGGAGUCCUUGUGUCUGUCAUGGUCACGAAUGCAGUUUUGCUGUUUCACCAUUGUUUUUGUGAAUCACUAGUCACAUGGUUACUGUAAAUAAGACAACUUUCCUAUGAAGUUCAGGCUAAUUAGAGAUUUUUUUUUAUUCUUGAGAGAAAACUCUUCUGUUUUAGAAAAGUAAGUAUGCGAGAGAUGAAUCAGUGAAAGAUUAACAAAGCAGGUGGAAGAGGUAGUUUGGUUCAGGUUCUCUCUUUCAUGUUGUAAGAAGUAGCAUGUGGAGGAACCUGUCCACAAAGGACCAACCUGUCUGAUCACAGGACUUUGGUCAUCUGACUGAAACAAACCUCAAACGCACCAGGAGCGAUUCUAAUGUAGGAAAAACUCCUCAGGGGAGUAUUAGAGCCACUGUUAGAGAAACACUCUAAAUCAGCAUUUUCACUGGAUUUUUUUAUCAUGAAAAUACUUAGAAACAACUAAAGCCAUAGAGGUUUUAUUUUGGUGAAUAACUGAGACAUGCUUGACUUAAAGUUUGUAAUUCAACAACAUUCUUUAUUUGUGUUUGUUAGAUUGAAACAAUUAAUUUGUGUGCUUUAAAGAUUUAUUUAGAGGCACAGUGUGUAAUAUUCUUUCUGAUUACUAUCAAAAGCUGUGUAUCCCAUUCAUAAAUGUGUCUUUUUUCAUUAAUAUAGAAUAACAUCUAUUCUACAUCCUCCUCUUAGCUUGAAAUUUUACAUUUUUAUAUUUAUAAACAGUAGUGCACCCCGUGAAGCAUGCAGUCUAAGAAGAAGACAAUAGAUUCACCGCUGCUGAACUUAGUUAGCAAGAAAAGCCACACCAUGGCAGCAAAUCACAUGGCAGCCACGGUGUGGCUUGUGAACACUCUUUGGUGGCAUGGCAGUGCGGGAAUUUUGCGGCAUUCGUACCGCCAUGUUUGCUAUUAAUAUUC
rnacentral:lncRNA from 1 species